rnacentral:rRNA from 1 species
GCGGCGGACGGGUGAGUAAUGCCUAGGAAUCUGCCUAGUAGUGGGGGAUAACUUGCCGAAAGGUAAGCUAAUACCGCAUACGUCCUACGGGAGAAAGCAGGGGACUCUUCGGAGCCUUGCGCUAUUAGAUGAGCCUAGGUCGGAUUAGUUAGUUGGUGAGGUAAUGGCUCACCAAGACUGCGAUCCGUAACUGGUCUGAGAGGAUGAUCAGUCACACUGGAACUGAGACACGGUCCAGACUCCUACGGGAGGCAGCAGUGGGGAAUAUUGGACAAUGGGGGCAACCCUGAUCCAGCCAUGCCGCGCGUGUGAAGAAGGUCUUAGGAUUGUAAAGCACUUUAAGUUGGGAGGAAGGGCAGUUAACUAAUACUUGACUGUUUUGACGUUACCGACAGAAUAAGCACCGGCUAACUUCGUGCCAGCAGCCGCGGUAAUACGAAGGGUGCAAGCGUUAAUCGGAAUUACUGGGCGUAAAGCGCGCGUAGGUGGUUCGUUAAGUUAGGAGUGAAAGCCCCGG